rnacentral:ncRNA from 1 species
AGCCCCGUCGGGCCUGGACCCUGCCGCACCACGAGGCGUUGUCGGCGAGUCGGGUUGUUUGGGAAUGCAGCCCUAAUCAGGUGGUAAAUUCCGUCCAAGGCUAAAUACCGGCGAGAGAUCGAUAGCGAACAAGUACAGCGAGGGAAAGAUGAAAAGGACUUUGAAAAGAGAGUUAAAGAGUGCUUGAAAUUUCCGGGAGGGAAGCGGAUGGAUGCCGGCGAUGCGUCUCGGUCGGAUGCGGAACGGCUCAAGCUGGUCUGCCGCUCGACUCGAGGUGCGAACCAGCACAGGUCGUUGCAUCGGCACAAGCAUGGGUGGAGUACUGUCUGUUGGUUUUCCGUUGUGGCGGUCGAGGAACGAAGCGUGCGCCCUUGGGGCGGGCCACUGUGCACCUGCACGCUCGUGGUGUUGGUUGGCAGGCUUUCCAUUCAACCCGUCUUGAAACACGGAACAAGGAGUCUAACAUGUGUGCGAGUCGGUGGGUUUGUAAACCUACGAGGCGUAAGGAAGCUGACGGGCGAGAACCCCUCUCCAUGGGGUGCAUUGCCGACCGACCUUGAGCUUGUGCGAAGGGUUCGAGUGCGAGCACACCUGUUGGGACCCGAAAGAUGGUGAACUAUGCCUGAGCAGGGCGAAGCCAGAGGAAACUCUGGUGGAGGCCCGUAGCGAUACUGGCGUGCAAAUCGUUCAUCUGACUUGGGUAUAGGGGCGAAAGACUAAUCGAACCAUCUAGUAGCUGGUUUCCUCCGAAGUUUCCCUCAGGAUAGCUGGAGCUCACAUGGGAUUUUUAUCGGGUAAAGCAAAUGAUUAGAGGCAUCGGGGGCGUAACGCAGUCGACCUAUUCUCAAACCUUAAAUAGGUAAGACGGUGCGGCUGCUCCAUUGAGCCGUGCCACGGAAUCGAGAGCUCCAAGUGGGCCAUUUUUGGUAAGCAGAACUGGC